AUUUAACGCUGGCGGCAGGCCUAACACAUGCAAGUCGAGCGGAGCGGCGGCCGAGGGAGUAAUUCCUAGGAAUCUGCCUGGGAGUGGGGGAUAACGUCCGGAAACGGGCGCUAAUAACGCAUAAUAUCAGAUGAGCCUAGGUCGGAUUAGCUAGUUGGUGGGGUAAAGGCCUACCAAGGCGACGAUCCGUAACUGGUCUGAGAGGAUGUUCAGUCACACUGGAACUGAGACACGGUCCAGACUCCUACGGGAGGUAGCAUUGGGGAAUAUUGGACAAUGGGCGAAAGCCUGAUCCAGCCAUGCCGCGUGUGUGAAGAAGGUCUUCGGAUUGUAAAGCACUUUAAGUUGGGAGGCGUUACCAACAGAAUAAGCACCGGCUAACUUCGUGCCAGCAGCCGCGGUAAUUC
rnacentral:rRNA from 1 species